GCAGACUCACUAGGCACCUGGCUGCAGCCCCAGGUGGGUGCUUGUUCCCUCUGCCAGAGAAACAAACAUUCCUUAUAGGU
rnacentral:snoRNA from 1 species